UCACUUCAGCAGCACAAAUACUAAAAUUGGAAUGCUAUAAAUAUGAUUAGCAUGGCCCCUGCACAGGAUGUUACACACAUUUUUUUUAACCCUUUCAAAAAUCU
ensembl:snRNA U6 U6 spliceosomal RNA